rnacentral:lncRNA from 13 species
AUGCAGUCUCCUGAAUUUCUUCUUGUUGGAGUGCCCUUUGUGGGGAGGGGGCAUCACUUGUGGAAGAAUUCUCAAGUAUCUUGGUUUAGGUUUCAGCUGGAGUUGCCCUGGCAUUGCCUCCCAGAGGGGCAGGAUUGCUCCCCAGGAAGUUCUCCAGCCAGAAGUCCCUCUGGAUCCGGAUUAUUUUUUAAAAAAAGUUUAGUUUGUCUUGGCUUUUUCUUUUUUUCCUGCCCUUUCUGGUUUGUCUCUCCAUGUUCUUAUUUUACAGAGGAACCCCCUCCCCAGCCUGGCCAGAGCCGCAGCCUCCUUCAUGUGCCGCUGCCUCACUCGCUGCUGCCGUGCUGGCUCAGGAAUGUGAUCAAAGCCCGGCUAAGCAGGAAUUGUUCCGGGCCUGCUCUGUUUAAUCGCUGCCGCCGCGAGCAAAGCUGCCCCUGCUCCUUGAGGGGAGCGCUAGCUGCAGCCCGGCAGGAAAAGAGCCCAGGAAAAGCCGUGCACUUUGCAGGAGAAGCGCUGGGAGCAGAGGGGAGAGCGGGAAAAGGGAGCGAGAGCAGCUGGGCGGGCGGGGCGGCAUCAGCACUGAUCCCUCCGCGGGCAGGAGCGCAUCACAAAUAGUCCCUCCGGCAGAUCACUCUGCGGGCGGGCGCCAUCACCGCUAAUACAAGUAUUUAUAAAUUCAAAAGAACUCAUUAACACAGAAGAAAGCAAGUAUGCUUCAUGCUGGGUGGGAAACAUAGGGUCUAAGGGAUAAGAAUUUUAAAGUUUUUUUUUUUUUUUUUUUUUUUUUUUUAUGAGAGAACUACAUACCCCAUGGCACCCACAGAGUUCAGGACGGGUAGAGAGGAUGAAACAAACUUUAAAGAGAACCUUAACUGAAUUAGUAAUUGAAACUCAAAUGUCAUGGGGUAUGUAGUUCUCUCAUAAAAUUAAAAAAAAAUUAAUAUAA